rfam:Nelumbo nucifera unplaced genomic scaffold scaffold00173, whole genome shotgun sequence
GAUGCUGUGGUGUAGUGGUUAUCACGUCAGUCUAACACAGUGAAGGUUCCCAGUUCGUUCCUGGGCAGCAUCA